rnacentral:rRNA from 1 species
GAGUUUGAUCGUGGCUCAGGACGAACGCUGGCGGCGUGCCUAAUACAUGCAAGUCGAACGAGUCCUCCCAAUUUGAUUUUAUGCUUGCAUAAAUGAUUUUUGGAUUCGGGACGAGUGGCGAACUGGUGAGUAACACGUGGGUAACCUGCCCUAAAGCAGGGGAUAACAUUUGGAAACAGAUGCUAAUACCGUAUAAUUAGUUGGAACCACAUGGUUCCAACUUGAAAGAUGGCUCUGCUAUCACUUUAGGAUGGACCCGCGGCGUAUUAGCUAGUUGGUGAGAUAAAGGCUCACCAAGGCGAUGAUACGUAGCCGACCUGAGGGGGUAAUCGGCCACAUUGGGACUGAGACACGGCCCAGACUCCUACGGGAGGCAGCAGUAGGGAAUCUUCCACAAUGGACGCAAGUCUGAUGGAGCAACGCCGCGUGAGUGAAGAAGGGUUUCGGCUCGUAAAACUCUGUUGUUAAAGAAGAACAAGUGUAAGAGUAACUGUUACGCUUUGACGGUAUUUAACCAGAAAGCCACGGCUAACUACGU